CCGUACUGGGAUCUUCUUCCUCCUCGCAUGUCUACCUCUGUCUUCCUCAUCCACCGCCCCUGGUCAGCGACUGUUUCGCCGUCGACCGUGCUGCCUAUCUCCUCGUCGACCUCAUUUUUUCCCUCCCUCUUCCCGGCCGCUGUUGCUAUGACCACCGCCCCUAUUUGGCCUGGUCGUCUCCUAAUAAACUAUUAAAACCGUCUCCACUGCUUGGCCAGCCUAUAUCCUCGGAGCCCCUUGUAAACUCGUUAGAGUUCGGAAAAAGAGGAGAAAUAGAUGAGAAAGAGAAUAAGGAGGUAAAAAAAAAAAAUGGAACCCAUCGCGU
rnacentral:lncRNA from 1 species